UACGCAGGGGGCUAGCGUUGCUCGGAAUUACUGGGCGUAAAGCGCACGUAGGCGGCUUUCUAAGUCGGGGGUGAAAUCCUGGAGCUCAACUCCAGAACUGCCUUCGAUACUGGAGAGCUCGAGUCCGGGAGAGGUGAGUGGAACUGCGAGUGUAGAGGUGAAAUUCGUAGAUAUUCGCAAGAACACCAGUGGCGAAGGCGGCUCACUGGCCCGGUACUGACGCUGAGGUGCGAAAGCGUGGGGAGCAAACAGG
rnacentral:rRNA from 1 species